rnacentral:rRNA from 1 species
GGUUAAGCGACUAAGCGUACACGGUGGAUGCCCUGGCAGUCAGAGGCGAUGAAGGACGUGCUAAUCUGCGAAAAGCGUCGGUAAGGUGAUAUGAACCGUUAUAACCGGCGAUGUCCGAAUGGGGAAACCCAGUGCAAUUCGUUGCACUAUCGUUAACUGAAUACAUAGGUUAACGAGGCGAACCGGGGGAACUGAAACAUCUAAGUACCCCGAGGAAAAGAAAUCAACCGAGAUUCCCCCAGUAGCGGCGAGCGAACGGGGAGCAGCCCAGAGUCUGAAUCAGCUUGUGUGUUAGUGGAACGGUCUGGAAAGUCCGACGGUACAGGGUGAUAGUCCCGUACACCAAAAUGCACAGGCUGUGAACUCGAAGAGUAGGGCGGGACACGUGGUAUCCUGUCUGAAUAUGGGGGGACCAUCCUCCAAGGCUAAAUACUCCUGACUGACCGAUAGUGAACCAGUACCGUGAGGGAAAGGCGAAAAGAACCCCGGCGAGGGGAGUGAAAAAGAACCUGAAACCGUGUACGUACAAGCAGUGGGAGCACCUUCGGGUGUGACUGCGUACCUUUUGUAUAAUGGGUCAGCGACUUAUAUUCUGUAGCAAGGUUAACCGUAUAGGGGAGCCGCAGGGAAACCGAGUCUUAACUGGGCGUUAAGUUGCAGGGUAUAGACCCGAAACCCGGUGAUCUAGCCAUGGGCAGGUUGAAGGUUGGGUAACACUAACUGGAGGACCGAACCGACUAAUGUUGAAAAAUUAGCGGAUGACUUGUGGCUGGGGGUGAAAGGCCAAUCAAACCGGGAGAUAGCUGGUUCUCCCCGAAAGCUAUUUAGGUAGCGCCUCGUGAAUUCAUCUUCGGGGGUAGAGCACUGUUUCGGCUAGGGGGUCAUCCCGACUUACCAACCCGAUGCAAACUACGAAUACCGAAGAAUGUUAUCACGGGAGACACACGGCGGGUGCUAACGUCCGUCGUGAAGAGGGAAACAACCCAGACCGCCAGCUAAGGUCCCAAAGUCAUGGUUAAGUGGGAAACGAUGUGGGAAGGCACAGACAGCCAGGAUGUUGGCUUAGAAGCAGCCAUCAUUUAAAGAAAGCGUAAUAGCUCACUGGUCGAGUCGGCCUGCGCGGAAGAUGUAACGGGGCUAAACCAUGCACCGAAGCUGCGGCAGCGACACUAUGUGUUGUUGGGUAGGGGAGCGUUCUGUAAGCCUGCGAAGGUGACCUGUGAGGGUUGCUGGAGGUAUCAGAAGUGCGAAUGCUGACAUAAGUAACGAUAAAGCGGGUGAAAAGCCCGCUCGCCGGAAGACCAAGGGUUCCUGUCCAACGUUAAUCGGGGCAGGGUGAGUCGACCCCUAAGGCGAGGCCGAAAGGCGUAGUCGAUGGGAAACAGGUUAAUAUUCCUGUACUUGGUGUUACUGCGAAGGGGGACGGAGAAGGCUAUGUUAGCCGGGCGACGGUUGUCCCGGUUUAAGCAUGUAGGCUGGUUAUCCAGGCAAAUCCGGAUAAUCAAGGCUGAGGUGUGAUGACGAGGCACUACGGUGCUGAAGUAACAAAUGCCCUGCUUCCAGGAAAAGCCUCUAAGCAUCAGGUAACAUCAAAUCGUACCCCAAACCGACACAGGUGGUCAGGUAGAGAAUACCAAGGCGCUUGAGAGAACUCGGGUGAAGGAACUAGGCAAAAUGGUGCCGUAACUUCGGGAGAAGGCACGCUGGUGUGUAGGUGAAGUCCCUGCGGAUGGAGCUGAGACCAGUCGAAGAUACCAGCUGGCUGCAACUGUUUAUUAAAAACACAGCACUGUGCAAACACGAAAGUGGACGUAUACGGUGUGACGCCUGCCCGGUGCCGGAAGGUUAAUUGAUGGGGUUAUCCGUAAGGAGAAGCUCUUGAUCGAAGCCCCGGUAAACGGCGGCCGUAACUAUAACGGUCCUAAGGUAGCGAAAUUCCUUGUCGGGUAAGUUCCGACCUGCACGAAUGGCGUAAUGAUGGCCAGGCUGUCUCCACCCGAGACUCAGUGAAAUUGAACUCGCUGUGAAGAUGCAGUGUACCCGCGGCAAGACGGAAAGACCCCGUGAACCUUUACUAUAGCUUGACACUGAACAUUGAGCCUUGAUGUGUAGGAUAGGUGGGAGGCUUUGAAGCGUGGACGCCAGUCUGCGUGGAGCCAACCUUGAAAUACCACCCUUUAAUGUUUGAUGUUCUAACGUUGGCCCCUUACCGGGGUUGCGGACAGUGUCUGGUGGGUAGUUUGACUGGGGCGGUCUCCUCCCAAAGCGUAACGGAGGAGCACGAAGGUUAGCUAAUCCUGGUCGGACAUCAGGAGGUUAGUGCAAUGGCAUAAGCUAGCUUGACUGCGAGCGUGACGGCGCGAGCAGGUGCGAAAGCAGGUCAUAGUGAUCCGGUGGUUCUGAAUGGAAGGGCCAUCGCUCAACGGAUAAAAGGUACUCCGGGGAUAACAGGCUGAUACCGCCCAAGAGUUCAUAUCGACGGCGGUGUUUGGCACCUCGAUGUCGGCUCAUCACAUCCUGGGGCUGAAGUAGGUCCCAAGGGUAUGGCUGUUCGCCAUUUAAAGUGGUACGCGAGCUGGGUUUAGAACGUCGUGAGACAGUUCGGUCCCUAUCUGCCGUGGGCGCUGGAGAAUUGAGGGGGGCUGCUCCUAGUACGAGAGGACCGGAGUGGACGCAUCACUGGUGUUCGGGUUGUCAUGCCAAUGGCACUGCCCGGUAGCUAAAUGCGGAAGAGAUAAGUGCUGAAAGCAUCUAAGCACGAAACUUGCCCCGAGAUGAGUUCUCCCUGAGACUUUAAGUCUCCUGAAGGAACGUUAAAGACGAUGACGUUGAUAGGCCGGGUGUGUAAGCGCAGCGAUGCGUUGAGCUAACCGGUACUAAUGAACCGUGAGGCUUAACCUU